rnacentral:rRNA from 1 species
UACAGAGGUCCCAAGCGUUGUUCGGAUUCACUGGGCGUAAAGGGUGCGUAGGUGGUGAGGUAAGUCGGAUGUGAAAGCUCGGAGCUCAACUCCGAAAUGGCAUUGGAAACUACCUUGCUCGAGGGUUGGAGGGGGGACUGGAAUGCUUGGUGUAGCAGUGAAAUGCGUAGAUAUCAAGCGGAACACCAGUGGCGAAGGCGAGUCCCUGGACAACUCCUGACGCUGAGGCGCGAAAGCGUGGGGAGCAAACAGG